rnacentral:rRNA from 1 species
GAUGAACGCUGGCGGCGUGCCUAAUACAUGCAAGUCGAGCGAACACAUGAUGAGCUUUCUCCUCUGACGUUAGCGACUGACGGGUGAGUAACACGUGGAUAACCUUCCUAUAAUACUGGGAUAACUUCGUGAAACCGGAUCUACUACCGGCUAAUAUAUUCAACCGCAUGGUUCAAUAGUUCAUGACGCUUUUGCUGUCACUUUUAGCUGAUUCCGCGUCGGAUUAGCUACUUGGUAAGGUCACGGCUUAACAAGGCAACGAUGCGUAUCCGACCUGAGAGGGUGAACGGGCAAAAUGGAAAUGAGAAAAGGUCCAGAAUCCUAAGGGAGGGAGCAGUAGGGAAUCUUUCGAAAAGGGCGGAAGGCUGAAGGAGCAAAGACGGGUGAGGGAAGAAGGGCUUCGGAGCGGAAAAGUCUGUUAGUAGGGAAGAAAAAAUGGGUAAGUAACUAUGCACGUCUUGAAGGUAACUAAUCAGAAAGGCACGGCUAAAUACGUG